UGUCCUCUCCAUCGGCCUUCUGUAUGGAAACAGGCCACCUAGAAGCAAGUGGCCCGCUAAAACCUUAUCGGCCUUCUUGUUGCCUCCGUCCGCAUUUGACUGUCCCCGCAUCCAUCCCGUCCCCUCUCAGCCGGCGCUCGCCUCUGGUCGUUCUCGUCGACCUCGCCGGUCCGCCAUUGUUUUGCCCGUCUCUUCCUCCCUCUGCGUGUCCGGUGGACCUCCGUCGUAGCUGGUGCUCGUGCGGGGGGCUGCCGCUGCACCCCCCCCUCCUCCGUCGUAUUUGCGUCGAUGUUUGCUCCGACCUAGGUUUUGGGGUUUCCACACCUUCGGCGCCGCCGGUGUCCGCUGCCCUUUCAGUCUUCUCCGGUCCAUUGAGCUUCUUGGUAUGCCUCUGCCCCAUGUGUUUUCCCCUAUCUUCGCCUAUGAUUUGUUUCGUUUGCUUUGGUGUUUGCUCCGACCUAGGUGUUGGGGUUUCCACACCGUCGGCGCCGCCGGUGUCCGCUGCCCUUUCAGUCAUCUCCGGUCCAUUAAGCUUCUUGUUCAGGUUUCAGCUCUGAAGGUCCGCGGUGCCCUGCAUUUGUGCCUGGUUGGGUCGAUCUCCAUCUAGGUGCUUCCACUCCUGCAUGCUCCUCAGUAUACAAAUGGAUCCGCAGCUUGGUGGUGGAUACAAAUGCCUAUAAGGUCAUGGCACAAAUGCAUUACCUAGGUACCUAUUAAACUUCACUGCAGGGGAUGAAAUAGGAGAGGCAAAGUUUCUUUGCAUAUCAUGAGCUCCAGCAAGCACCUCCAUGCAGACACCAACUUCACUUCAAAUUGCGUGGUCCACAGGUUCAGCAACAAGUUCAGAUUUCCCACACGACUUAAUCAACACCCGUCUCAGCCGCGGAUCCAGAUGACACACCUACAAAGGAUCCUGGCACCGAGGUCACCUGCAGAGGCACCCAAUGCUCGCAGACACUUAUUUAAAGAUGUCGGUGCAGUGGACGAGCGAGUAGCAGACGAUGAGAGUUUCACUGCACCUGGACUGAUACAGGAUGAUAUGAGUAUCCCAACAGGGUCUCCACCACAACCACAGACAAAAAGGGCUAGAUCUGAAAUCUGCAGGGGUUAAUCAGCUGCGGCUCAAACAGGGUAGCCUAAGGCCGCAGUGAUCUAGAAGGGGCCAUCAUUGGUCUUUUGCGCAUGAAAAUGCUUAUGAUCCUGUAGAUGGUUCUGCCAUACAAUUAAACAUAAGAACUGUUUGAAGGCCUGUUUGUUGUAUAAUAUCCAGGCCAUUCUGCAUCUAUCUAUCUCUAUAAUACAAUGAAACGCAACUCUCCUGUAUUUUUAGAAAAAAUUUUUGCAUCUAUCUAGCGUUACUUAAACUCAGUUGCUCCCUCUGCAGCUUAUUUAUUGUAUAAUAUCCGUGCUGCUACUGCCUCAGGGAGAAUCCGUAUGGUACAAUCGUCUGUUUCUGAAUGGAACUUAUGUAGCAGCCUAUUUAAAUACUUAUAGAACAAGCAUAUGUGGUACAAGUACUAAUAUAAUAUAAACCAGUGUACAUGUGCUGCUA